CCGGGGCGGGCAGGGGCGGGGCGGCGCUGUUGUACUUCCAGGCCAUGCCAGCGCCCGCCGCCUACGGCCGUGGCAGCUCCGGCCGGCGCUGAACGGCAUGGGGGUGCGGGCGCGGCUGCUGCGGGCCGUCAUCAUGGGCCCGCCGGGCUCCGGCAAGGGCACUGUGUCGUCCCGAAUAGUCAAGCACUUCGCCCUCAAGCAUCUCUCCAGCGGGGACCUGCUCCGCGACAACAUGCAGCGCCGCACAGAGGUUGGUGUUAUUGCCAAGACCUACAUUGAUCGAGGGCAGCUUAUUCCAGAUGACAUCAUGACACAGCUGGUGCUGAGAGAGCUGAAAACCUUGGAGCAGUACAGCUGGUUGCUGGAUGGCUUUCCUAGAACGGUCCCACAGGCAGCAGCUCUGGAUAAGACAUGUCAGAUAGACACUGUGAUUGAUCUAGAUGUUCCAUUUGAGACGAUUAAACAACGACUCACUGCACGAUGGAUCCAUCCUACUAGCGGUAGAGUCUACAACCUCGAAUUCAAUCCUCCUGAAAUCCAUGGCAUUGAUGAUAUUACUGGAGAGCCACUUGUACAGCGCGAAGAUGAUAAGCCAGAGACCGUUACCAAAAGACUGCAGUCUUACGAGGCACAAACAAAGCCGGUUCUGGAUUAUUAUCGGAAAAAAGGUGUGUUGGAAUCUUUCUCUGGAACAGAAACCAACAAAAUCUGGCCACAUGUCCAUGCUUUUCUCCAAACCAAGUUGCCAGAUGUGAGCCAGAAUGAAGCUGCCUCGCAGAGAUGAAGUUGGUCUAAUCUUUUGAUGAUGAGAAGAUAGCUGCUGUCACACACAUUUCAGGAGUGAUUCCCUCUACAGUAGUAAAAGUUUACAAAGAUGAUGUUUUCUCAUUUCUGCUAAGUGAUGUUCCAAAUUGAUCAAUAAGUUAUAACAUUAUCAGAAUGCCAAGGACCUAAAACAAGAGCCACAGCAAGCAAGCUACACAGUUGGUGCAGAAGAAUGUAACUUUAAUCCCCACCAUUACUACUGAGUUUACAGAUCAGUCAUACCCAAGAAUAGUUGGCAGAGAAAUGUGCAUUAUACAAUUUGCCAUUUUUGUUAACCAGAAUCAGUCUUAUUCUCAUAUCAGACUAGACUGAUAGAAAUGGUCAACAGCUCAAAUUCCAGAGCAAUCCAGAUAUUCUAACCACUGCUACUCUUCUCAAAGAACAUACCUGACCAUGUUUUCAGCAUCUCAAGAUCCUGAAUUCAUCUCUCUCCCUCACUCUUUGAAGUAGUCAGUAAAAGCUGGCACAGGCAUCAAUUCAACAGUCAAUCCAGAUGGUUCAGAUCUAUGGAUGGAGUAGUUGGCUGGAGACCAUUCUGUGACUGAGGUCUUUGCUCUUCUCUCUUGCAGCAACUACAAGCAAGUCGUUCCUGCUCCUGCAUCCCCAGGAGCUGUAGCUCCAUAUAUCACAUAGCAGGAUUUGCUUUCACCACCUUUCAGUCCUGGCACAUAUUCUAAAUUGUCCACUGUAGAAUUUGGAAAGCUUUCCACUUCUUGUCAAGGUAAGGCUACUGAGAGUAGCUACUGUUUAAAACCGGUGGCCCAUGAGGGGUUAAUGUGGCCCACAGUUUCCUACCCAACUAGUUUCCCCCAACGCACUGUACCAGUGACUGUGAUCUCUAGUUCCCCCCCACUCCCUUCCCAGCUUCUGCUUCCUUCCUCUGCACCUGGGUAAUGCAGCAGGAGAUUGCAGUUAGAGCAACAUAAGGCUCUCAGCAGGGGACAGGGCCAGGCUGCUCAUACAAGGCAUGCAGCAGUAGAGGGAUCUGGACUGACCUCCCACAAUGUAGCAGGGGGAUAGCGGCUCAGGGUGAGCAGCCUACACAAAGCAUGGCCCCCCCAGUCUGUGGCCUAUGUGACCCUGGGCUGCCAAGACAUUGUACACCUGUGGUCUAAAUUAAGUUUCUAAAAAAGGACCUUGACAAAAAACAGUGUGUAGACUUGUAUCCAAACAUGCACCAUAUGGAAUCUAGAGUUGGACUGUUUAAAUAGAGAUCAGCUUCCUUCAUGCAGUUGUUGGAACAUUCCUACAUAAAACCUUGAUUUGUCCAGUGCUUCACUUUGACCUCAGCAUUUCUGGCAGUUGUCAGAAAAGUUUAUAGAUCUCACACAGCUUUUACUGCCAGAAGCUGUAGUUGACCACCAACUGCUAGUGCUUUCAACUAAUCCUUGACUUCUUUCCACAAAGGCAGUGAUUCUCAACCUUUUUGGAUUCAAGGCACCCCUCCAUAAUUUUUGUGAAUUGAAUGGCACCCAAUUUAAAAAAAACUAGUGUAUAUAUUAGUGCUUACUCCCUUGCAGAGAGGCUAGGCAGUAGGGAUGGAGAAUUGUCCAGGCAGGUGCAAGCCUGAGCCUGUGCUUAUCUUAUCACAACACCUUUCAAAGGAUCUGAUGGCGCUGUGUUUGAGAAUCACUAUGCUAAAGUGAUCACAGGUGUUCUAAACUGGUGUCCUGGAGACUUGAAACCAGGCUGUGAAGUUACAUUUUGUAUCUUGGCAAUAUCACUGCUGAACAUCAAAGAAUGGCUUGUAGCAGUAGUGCUCUCUAUCUAGGGCAACUAGAUUGGAGGAUUGUGGACUUAACUGCAUGACAGGUGGGUAAGAAGCUGGCUAUGGGGUAGGACCCAGAGAGUUCUAAUGAAUGGAUCGGUGUUGUCCUGGCAAGAAGUGGUCAGGGAUCGGUGCUUGGACCAGUUCUUUAUAAUAUCUUUAUCAAUGAUGGACCUAGACAGGCUAGCAAGUUGCGUGGAUCAGAACCAGAUGAAGUUCAAUGCUGAGAAACGUUAAGCGCUUCACCUGGGGACGAACAAUCCCCAACACACCUACAG